UACGUAGGGGGCGAGCGUUGUCCGGAUUUAUUGGGCGUAAAGAGCGUGUAGGCGGCCAGGUAGGUCUGCUGUGAAAACUCGAGGCUCAACCUCGAGACGUCGGCGGAAACCAUCUGGCUAGAGUCCGGAAGAGGAGAGUGGAAUUCCUGGUGUAGCGGUGAAAUGCGCAGAUAUCAGGAACGAACACCCGUGGCGAAGGCGGCUCCUCUGGGACGGUACUGACGCUGAGACGCGAAAGCGUGGGGAGCGAACAGG
rnacentral:rRNA from 1 species